GACGAACGCUGGCGGCGUGCUUAACACAUGCAAGUCGAACGGAAAGGCCCCCUUGUGGGGUACUCGAGUGGCGAACGGGUGAGUAACACGUGAGUAACCUACCCUUUACUUUGGGAUAACUUCAGGAAACUGGGGCUAAUACCGGAUAGGAGCUCCUGCUGCAUGGUGGGGGUUGGAAAGUUUCGGCGGUUGGGGAUGGACUCGCGGCUUAUCAGCUUGUUGGUGGGGUAGUGGCUCACCAAGGCUUUGACGGGUAGCCGGCCUGAGAGGGUGACCGGCCACAUUGGGACUGAGAUACGGCCCAGACUCCUACGGGAGGCAGCAGUGGGGAAUAUUGCACAAUGGGCGGAAGCCUGAUGCAGCAACGCCGCGUGCGGGAUGACGGCCUUCGGGUUGUAAACCGCUUUCGCCUGUGACGAAGCGUGAGUGACGGUAAUGGGUAAAGAAGCACCGGCUAACUACGUG
rnacentral:rRNA from 1 species